rnacentral:lncRNA from 1 species
UUGUAAUCAUUUGUAUGUAAUUAAUGUUGAUUGUUCUGCUCCUUGUGGGCGCUUUGAUUAGCAAUAAAAUAUAUUUGAAUUUGAAUUUGCUGGUCAUGGAUAUUCGCAAAUAAUUUAAAUUAAAAAUACAGUAUGUGUCAAUGUGAUCACCUUUGUACUAAAAUUUAAUUCAAUUUUUUAGUAGGUAUUUAAUGUUUGAAACUUACAAAAAUAACUUAAGGGACAUACUGUAUACCAU